CAGCGCAACGCCUGCGAACCCCCUCCCCGCCCCGUCCCGGCGCCAGCGCCGCAGCCCGCCCUUGCGUAUCCUCGUUUAGGAUCCCGAAAUCACCUUUCGCGCGUGCCCUGGAUUUAAUCUCUCUCCGUCCCACACGAUGCCCGCAGCGGCGUGCCCUACAUAACAUGGGCAGGGAGAGGGACUUCACUGCAGUGCUGGCAUGGGCGGGCUGCUGGGGGAAGGGAGGGAAGGCCGCCUUUCCAAACCGUCUUGAUCACAAGAAAUUCUUGUGAUUCUCCAAGCGGCCCCCUUACUCUAGCAGCAGGGAUGCCAUGCUGGGAUUUAAGCUUCUGAAUACACGAAGGGAGCAAAUAUUGCCAAGUUCGUUCUCGAAAGCACAGGUGGAUACCGAGGAGCCUCUCCUACGGAACGAAUAAAUUGGCGGAAGUGUUAGAUACUACAGCCACAGGCUUCUCCUGUCAGCAGUGGCUGCUUUUGCCUCGGCAGGAUGGGCUGCAGCGAACCUCCUAUACAGUGCUGCGAGGCGGGAAAGGCAAGGGUGUGCUCCACUGGGAUCGGCCCGUCUGCAUCCAACACAGCCGCGGGAAUGAGAGCACAGGCAUUCCCAUACGUGCCAGCAGAAAAAAGACAUCUUCCUCUCAGUCACCCAAGACCAUUCACACUGGCAGCACAGCCAUUAUUUGGAAAUUUCUGUACCUCCUCACAUGAGACUUUUCUGUUGCACAUCCCACAAAUCAAGCCUACUCCUCAAAGUCUGUGUGGAGGCUCCAGGCCCACUCGCAGGGUUUGAUUCUCACACCAAACCCAGCUUGGUCUCGCUCUCUCUCGCUCGCUCCCAGCUGCACCAGCAAGAGAAAAUGCCUCCCUGCAUAUCCUCUGGGCCCUAGAGGCUACCGCUUUCCAUUACAAAAACUCACAAAUCUUUCCCUUGUGGCUGGUUUUGAGAUUCUUUAAGGUGAAUUAGGCUUUAAAAAAAAAAAUAAAAAUCUAAAAAAUAAAGCGCUUCAGCAGUCGACUCUCCGUUCUAAUUUUAAUGCAACAUUUUUUUCUUCCUGGUUGUCUUUGCUGAUAUAAAAAAAUAAACCCCAAGAGAAAGCAAAGCUGCCUCUGCAGAGGGUUUGCAUGCAAGGAAGGCGGCGAGGAGCUGAAUUGUGAGACCCCCCCUGGGAUUAUC